CGCUAUCUGAAUCACUCAUUGUUAAAAAGUUUUAAACUACAUAUGUGGAAAAAAUUAGCGCGCGGAAGUAAAUCAAUUCCUUAAAAAUUUUUCAAGUGCCAUUUUUGCUACACCAGUUAAAGCAGGACUUAAUACAGUUUUAUCUUGCGUAUAGUGAAAUACAUUAUUUUCACCUUUAUUCUGUGUUUUAUCUAUGUGAAUUUCCGUAUCAUUGCAACAACUCACAUUUUUGCUCACUAGAUUACUGUUUGCAGUAGCAGGCCUUGCUCUUUGAAGAUGCAACGGUAGUUUUUUAUUAUUUAAAUAAUUUGAGAAACUAUCAGCCUUGUUAAUCUUUAUCUUUUGCUCCAAUUCCUUGACCUUAGUAGUUUCAGUAUCCAAAUCUUGUUUUAGUAACAUUAUUGUUUCUUGAUUUUGUUUAAUAAUUUGAUCCCUUGCAUCUAUUAAUUUCUCUAAUCUAAUAAUAAUUUCAUUUUUAUCUAAUAUAGUAUUCUCCAACAUUUUAAUUUCUUGUAUAAGCGUAUCGUAUUCGCAUUUUAGGUUUUUUUUGGUUUGUAAAUUUGAGAUGUUACCCUCUAGGCCUCUAUUCUCUUCUGAAUAAAUUUCUUCUAUCUUGGAUGUUUCCGAAACAAAUUCAUUUUCUAUGAAGGCAUUGUAUUCAGACGAAUGAUCUUGAAAUGUUAAAUCGAAUUCAUUUUUUGAUACUGGGUUCGGUGGUGGUAUUGGUGCAUCAUUCAAUUCAUUAUUGAGAAAAAAUGAAGAUUUAUAUGAACCGAUUUGAAUUGGGGAAUCAUAACCAAAAUCCUGUAAAUAUUUUGAAUUCUGGUUAUCUGUGUUUGAAGACUCUGAAAGCAUUGAUUUAGAAGCCAGAAAAUAGCUAUCUUUCUGGAUUGAAUCAACAUUGCUUUCAAUUGAAAUAAAAUUUAAAAACGUUUGAUGAAAGAGCAUCAUACUGAGAAUAAACUUGAUUUCUUUGCCAUGGCUAAGCUUCAUUGGGUUAAUAUAAAAUGGAAGCCUAUAUAUUAUUGUAAUUAAAUCUGGAAAUUCGAAAUAAUGACUUAUAAGACGUGAAAAUUGAAGCAUACAAAAGUCAGAUUUACUAAAGCCUUUAUAUUCCUUCAUAGCCAUUUCCAACGCAUUCCACGGACUAAUCUGCCCCGAAAGUCUUGUUUUAAUACCUUCACCCAGCGAUAUUAGAGAUAUAGAGCCUAUUUGAUUAUUUUUCCCAGAUUCAAUUUCAUUAAAAUCUUUGUAUAUCCUAAAUGUAAAUAUAUAAUGACAUAUUUCUUUCCAAUUAGAAGAUUUUCGUUUACUAUUGAUUUCUGCUGCAAGAGAAUUCACACUUUCAACUUUAAAAAUGCUGGUGUAUCCAAACUCUCCACUUAUCGGGGAUAAGUUUUCCAUAUCGAAUGAAUCGUUUUCUUUGUUCAAACCUUCAAACAAAUCGGUAAAAUCCCCACUGUUCAGUACACCAGUCCAUGAGCAAUACAAACUAAUUCUGUUACUUUCAUCUUGGUCUUGU
rnacentral:rRNA from 1 species